CAGAAGAUUGCUUGGAAACUCUCUCCAUAUCAACAUAGCAGCUUUGACAUGCAGGCUCUGAGAGGAUCAACAGGUCCCUACUCAAGGGAAUUCACCAUUCACUGUACGGCGCCCUCAAACUGGAUGAGAAUGAAAUGGGGGCGCCACAACACCCACCACUGAUGAGUUUGUAGUUAAGAAUUUUUUUAAGUGCAAUAAAAAAUGUUUGAUUAUUGUUACAGCAAAUGUGUACAACUUCCUUCGUGACUUUGGAUACCCAGAAAUAUUGGUUGCAUUUUGUUUUAUGUUUGCAAGAGGAUGACUAAUGCUUUUAACACUAACAGUUAAGGCAAGACUUUUUUAUACCUUGUUUAGCGAACCUGCCGACUGCGAAUAUUGAUGAUUUCGAAUAAAAAUAAAAUUUUAUUUU